rnacentral:tRNA from 1 species
UCCCUGGUAGCUUAGAGGUUAAAGCAUCUGCCUGCGAUGUGGGAGAUCUGAGUUCGAUUCCUGGGUGGGGAA